rnacentral:rRNA from 1 species
CCUACGGGGGGCAGCAGUGGGGAAUAUUGCACAAUGGGGGAAACCCUGAUGCAGCGACGCCGCGUGAGUGAAGAAGUAUUUCGGUAUGUAAAGCUCUAUCAGCAGGGAAGAAGUUGACGGUACCUGAGUAAGAAGCCCCGGCUAACUACGUGCCAGCAGCCGCGGUAAUACGUAUGGUGCAAGCGUUAUCCGGAUUUACUGGGUGUAAGGGGAGCGCAGGCGGCACGCUAAGCCUGAUGUGAAAACCCGCGGCCCAACCGCGGGAGUGCAUUGGGAACUGGCGGGCUGGAGUACCGGAGGGGCAG